rnacentral:sRNA from 2 species
AACCAAUCAUACAAGUACCUGCCUCUGACCUAUUUAGUUAACGAAAUUCACGAUGAUAUUUGCGCUGGUUAUUCAACAGAAAAUGUCUACAACUUAUGCAGUACUUGUAAGUCUUCUGUAACAAUAAUAUUGUUUAAGGACAUUAUAUCUUCAACAACCAGACAUCAAUCUUGGCCGGUAGCCGUCCCCCUGGCAAAGAGAUCAACAGCGUUUCCCAGACGGUUUAAAUCGGGACACAAACUUUGUCACCAGAUUGGGCACAAAGAUCGAUGUUCAUUUCAGAAAGCAUCAUGAGUGCUAGAUGAGUGAGGGAUGAUAUAUGGCAAUUGUCCCAUGACAUUUGACUUAAGGCCAUUAUAUACCUCAAGCUGAACAAUGGACCCUCC